AAGUCGUAACAAGGUUUCCGUAGGUGAACCUGCGGAAGGAUCAUUACCGAGUUGAUUCGAGCUCCGGCUCGACUCUCCCACCCAAUGUGUACCUACCUCUGUUGCUUUGGCGGGCCGCGGUCCUCCGCACCGGCGCCCUUCGGGGGGGCUGGCCAGCGCCCGCCAGAGGACCAUAAAACUCCAGUCAGUGAACUUUGCAGUCUGAAAAACAAGUUAAUAAACUAAAACUUUCAACAACGGAUCUCUUGGUUCUGGCAUCGAUGAAGAACGCAGCGAAAUGCGAUAAGUAAUGUGAAUUGCAGAAUUCAGUGAAUCAUCGAAUCUUUGAACGCACAUUGCGCCCCUUGGUAUUCCGAGGGGCAUGCCUGUUCGAGCGUCAUUUCAACCCUCAAGCUCUGCUUGGUAUUGGGCUCCGUCUCCACGGACGCGCCUUAAAGACCUCGGCGGUGGCGUCUUGCCUCAAGCGAGUAGAAAACACCUCGCUUUGGAGCGCACGGCGUCGCCCGCCGGACGAACUUUGAAUUGUUUCUCAAGGUUGACCUCGGAUCAGGUAGGGAUACCCGCGAACUUAA
rnacentral:rRNA from 1 species